UACGGAGGGUGCGAGCGUUGUCCGGGAUCAUUGGGCGUAAAGGGCGCGUAGGUGGCGGGACAAGCGUGCGGUGAAAGCCUGGGGCUCAACCCCGGGUCGGCCGUGCGAACUGUUUUGCUUGAGCACUGUAGAGGCAGGCGGAAUUCCGGGUGUAGCGGUGGAAUGCGUAGAUAUCUGGAGGAACACCGGUGGCGAAGGCGACAUCCUGGACCGGUAUUGACGCUGAGGCGCGAAAGCCAGGGGAGCAAACGGG
rnacentral:rRNA from 1 species